rnacentral:lncRNA from 1 species
UACGAUUUUGACCGUAUUCUUCAUUGACAGAAAAAAAAACAACGAAAAAGAACAUAGAGCUCUAAUGGAGCUUCAGCUGCAACAGUGCAAAGAGGAAACCCUUCUCUGAAUUUCAUCUCCUUGGUCAUCCCCCCAGGCAUGCCUGAACAUUGAAAAUCGCAGACCCUUACCCCAUCUCCACCAGUUUUUCUCAAGAGUUUCGUUUCGAGUUUUAUAUUUCUUCUUCUGGUUUCUGAUUUUGGAACAAUAGAAUUAAUCGAGGUUUGGAGCCAUUUCUAAGGUUGGGUCGUUGGAGGUUGUUGUUGAAAGUUUACAUUUGAAAGUCCGAAUCGAUUUGUAAUGAUUUUUUUUUGAAGUCGCGUCGAUGUCCGGCUGUAAUAUUGCUUCAUUCAGUCCGUAUAAACUUCUGGUUCAUCUUUGCUCCGUUGGUUUCUCUCUUCCAGAUAUAAUCAGUUUAUGUGAAUGUUCAAUAUAGUCUUUGUUUCAGCAAGUUUAAAUGUGUUUGCGAUUAAGAAGAUGGUAUUACUAAUUAGUUUCUUUGCUCCUGUCUUUGAUUUGCCUUUUGACCUUGUGGUGUCAUUGUUGGGAGGAUUAUAUGCCCGUGAAAUGCAACAAAUGUCCGAUUUCUUUUUACUUACUGUGUUACUAAAUAUUGCUAUCAUUUUUGCCUCCUAUUAAUUGGGAAUUAAAGUGUUCGGGUGUUUAAUUGUUGGGUGUUAAAGGGUUGUAACACAUAGUUUCAGGUCUGGAUAAUCGUGUUUUCAAAUUUUUGUAUACUCUGUUUUGCUUAAUAGUGUGCUUCCAUUAAUCUGUCGUUCUCUGUUUUGUGAUGUGCUUGGAUUGAAGUUUUGUUGUUUUGAUUUAAGGAUGGUUGAUUUCUCAUUUCCUUCUAUUCUUAUUGUUGAGCAUCAUACCCU